rnacentral:rRNA from 1 species
UACGUAGGAUCCAAGCGUUGUCCGGAUUUACUGGGUGUAAAGGGUGCGCAGGCGGACUUGUAAGUCAGGGGUGAAAUCUCACAGCUUAACUGUGAAACUGCCUUUGAUACUGCAAGUCUUGGAUCCAGAAGAGAGUUGUGGAAUUCCGAGUGUAGCAGUGAAAUGUGUAGAUAUUCGGAAGAACACCAGUGGCGAAGGCAGCAACUUGGUCUGGUAUCGACGCUCAGGCACGAAAGCAUGGGGAUCAAACAGG